rnacentral:rRNA from 1 species
AUACGUAGGGGGCGAGCGUUGUCCGGAUUUAUUGGGCGUAAAGGGCGAGUAGGCGGCAUGCCAAGUCCCAUGUGAAAUCUCCCGGCUUAACCGGGAGCGGUCAUGGGAAACUGGCGAGCUUGAGGACAGCAGAGGAGAGCGGAAUUCCCGGAGUAGUGGUGAAAUGCGUAGAUACCGGGAGGAACACCAGUGGCGAAAGCGGCUCUCUGGGCUGCCCCUGACGCUGAGGCGCGAAAGCAUGGGGAGCAAACCGGAUUAGAAACCCCGGUAGUCC